rnacentral:rRNA from 1 species
GUUUCCGUAGGUGAACCUGCUGCUGGAUCACUACA